rnacentral:lncRNA from 1 species
GUGCGCACUGUGUCCGUGCGGGCCCGCGCCUGCCGCUCCCGGUGCGCUAGAUUGUCGCGCUCCGGGUGUUAGGGGCUGCCGGGAAGCUACACUCGGGACCCUUAACAGGAAGCUGGGGUUUUGCACCGGGUCAGCCGGAGAGUCGUGGGCACGUAAAGAACUGGAUAUGAGGCCCUUGGAUGCGUUUUGGUGGAGGAGAUCUCAGAUCCUCCAGGGUUCGUUGCUUCUCUUCUGCUGUCCACUGAUCGCUCCCCGAUGGCUCCUGAAACGCGGUGCACAGGUCGGAAGAACUUGGCUUCAGCGGCCACAAGCUCUCAGCCCUCGAGGCUGGCUUCCGCCCCUCUCACAGCCAGAGUGGCCUGACGUUCUAGACGUGAAAGCUCCUCCUUCGGAGGAGGCUUUCAGGAUCUGCGCGGAGGCGAUCAUCCGCCUGCAAGCUUUGCCUAAGUUUUUCCUGGGGCCCGAGGUUCUUACUUGAAGUUCGAGGCUUGCGUCCUGCCCGCAGUCAGCUGCCGCGAGCUAAGCCUGGGCCAGAAGCUGGAGUGCGCUCUCCUCCGAGCGCCGCCUGCUUCCACUCUUGGGCAAGUGGCUUUCCAACAACACCUAAGCAGCAAGAUGGGAUGGUUUCUGGCUGCAGAACUGCAACCCUUCUGUCCCGGGCAGCUUUCCAAGAGGACCCUCACCAGCCUCCCUGGUGACUACCGUUCCUUCGUUCCUCUUUCCCUACACAUGCGGUCCAGAAAGGACUGAAUACCUGCAGCCCUGCAGCAAAUCACCAAAACCCAAGGGUAGCACCAGGCAAACACCAAGGUCCCACCAAGAUUUCUCGACUUGACUGAAAGAUUGCGUUGUCUCUCGGAAAACACGCUCCUCCUUAGUGCUAGGAGAGAGAGGAGCAAUCAGCCUCCAAACUGACCAAACGUUGGCGGUUAAUUAGCUUUUCAAUACACCUAUCCAGACAGUGUUCGAGCAUCGCAAAUAUGUUUCUUCCCAGUGUUGAUGAUAUUGAUAGAUUUGUAGAAUCUCUCCUACGACUGACUGAUCGAUGGUGAUGAUACAUAACAAGGUGUUAUAUGAUGCUUAGCUUAUACCCCAGACACUAUACUAAGUGGUGUGCAUGGAUAAAUUCAUUUACUACGGGAAGACACUAGGCUUUGCUUAUUUUGUCAAGUAAUGACAAUGUGAACACAUCCUCAGUACAAAAUAUACCUGAGUAUAUAAUUGUUUUUAUUUUGGAAUGUAAACGCUUUUACUAGAUAUUCUAAAUUGCUCUCCUACCAUUUACGUAUGAGAGGGAUUUCCUCACAUUCUCAUAAUUUUGUCAUAAUGUGAUAUAGAUUUUUGUGUUCUAAUUAAUUUUUAUAUUCAUGUUGAUAAUGAAUAUGAUUAUCUUUCAUGUGAGUUUUUUUUUCACAUGGACAUGUUAAUCCAAUUUAUCUUGAAUAGUUCAUUUUCUUUUUAUUAUUAUUUUAUUAGGUAUUUUCUUUUUUUUAAGAUUUAUUUAUUUAUUAUAUGUAAGUACACUGUAGCUGUCUUCAGACACUCCAAAAGAGGGCAUCAGAUUUCGUUACGGAUGGUUGUGAGCCACCACAUGGUUGCUGGGAUUUGAACUUGGGACCUUUGGAAGAGCAGUCAGCACUCUUAACCACUGAGCCAUCUCACCAGCCCAGAUAUUUUCUUUAUUUACAUUUCAAAUGCUAUCCCGAAAGUUCCCUAUACCCCCCCAGAGGCCCCCCCCCCCCGUCCUGCUCCCCUACCCACCCACAAUAGUUCAUUUUCUUAUGGAAAGGGUUUAUUUUGUUUUUAGAGACAGGGUCUCACUCUGUAGUCCUGCCUGGCUUCGAACUUGCAAUCCUCCUGCCUUAACUUUCCAAUGUUGUGACUAUAGCCACGCACCAGCACACCCCACUUGAAAAGGGCCCAUUCUCAAGUUUCAUUCUUUAAACAAGCUGCUUUAUUUUCAUUGGUUGUUUUGUUUUCAUACAGACUCAUGUAAACAGUUGACCUAUACUUUGGAAAGUUGUUGGGGAAGUCUUGGUUUAUUUUGUUUACCUUGUCCUUCGAUGGUGUGGGGUAUCAAGGCUGUAUGAUUCUCAAGAAACAUUACUGAGUACUUAUUUUCUUCCUCCUUCCUCGAAUAUUUUAUAUAAGAUAUAAAGCCUGUGUUCCUUAGAAAAACAUAAAAUUUUCUCUCUGUG